AAUAAAGUAAUUUAUAAGAACGAAAAAAAACACGAAAUGUGCACACUACUAAAGCUGUUUUGACGGCGAUAACCGAAAACUUUUUAUUUUUAAUAGCGCUGAUAACGAAUGCAUAAUAUGCGCCAUAACGACUUGGAGAGGAUUUCAGGCAACAAUAUCGGCGAACGCACUUAAGCCUACUGCAAACAAUAUAAUCGUCGAGCCGUCAGCUGUAACAGCAGUGUAUAUAAUAAUAUACAACGCAUAAGUCCCGAACAAAUAAUAAUUGCGACCGCCGGAUAGGUUACCAAUACUUGACGACGACAAAACGAAGAGGACUUCUAGAGUUUAUUGCUCACCAGCAGUUUCGAAUCGAAUCAACUGAAUUCAAAAUAUCGCCAACACGAAAAUCCGUUUGAGUUUUUCAAGACAAAAUGUAUAAUAUUUCAACACAUUAUACCAGCGGUACGCACACUGUUGUAUGCGUACCACUGGAGGCACGCACGAGGCUACACGGAGGUAGUACGGAUAAAUUAAUAUUUUUAAUUAUGUUUAUCACCGACUUAAUAUCGAUUUACGUUUUGUAUAGGUAGGUACUUAACAUACUGAAUAAAAUUAAUUACAUUUAAC